GUCGACUCUCCCACCCUUUGUGAACGUACCUCUGUUGCUUUGGCGGCUCCGGCCGCCAAAGGACCUCCAAACUCCAGUCAGUAAACGCAGACGUCUGAUAAACAAGUUAAUAAACUAAAACUUUCAACAACGGAUCUCUUGGUUCUGGCAUCGAUGAAGAACGCAGCGAAAUGCGAUAAGUAAUGUGAAUUGCAGAAUUCAGUGAAUCAUCGAAUCUUUGAACGCACAUUGCGCCCCUUGGUAUUCCGGGGGGCAUGCCUGUUCGAGCGUCAUUACAACCCUCAAGCUCUGCUUGGAAUUGGGCACCGUCCUCACUGCGGACGCGCCUCAAAGACCUCGGCGGUGGCUGUUCAGCCCUCAAGCGUAGUAGAAUACACCUCGCUUUGGAGUGGUUGGCGUCGCCCGCCGGACGAACCUUCUGAACUUUUCUCAAGGUUGACCUCGGAUCAGGUAGGGAUACCCGCUGAACUUAAGCAUAUCAAUAAGCGGAGGAA
rnacentral:rRNA from 1 species